rnacentral:rRNA from 1 species
GACGAACGCUGGCGGCGUGCUUAACACAUGCAAGUCGAACGGAAAGGCCCUGCUUUUGUGGGGUGCUCGAGUGGCGAACGGGUGAGUAACACGUGAGUAACCUGCCCUUGACUUUGGGAUAACUUCAGGAAACUGGGGCUCAUACCGGAUAGGAUCUCCUGCUGCAUGGUGGGGGUUGGAAAGUUUCGGCGGUUGGGGAUGGACUCGCGGCUUAUCAGCUUGUUGGUGGGGUUGUGGCUUACCAAGGCUUUGACGGGUAGCCGGCCUGAGAGGGUGGCCGGCCACAUUGGGACUGAGAUACGGCCCAGACUCCUACGGGAGGCAGCAGUGGGGAAUAUUGCACAAUGGGCGGAAGCCUGAUGCAGCAACGCCGCGUGCGGGAUGACGGCCUUCGGGUUGUAAACCGCUUUCGCCUGUGACGAAGCGUGAGUGACGGUAAUGGGUAAAGAAGCACCGGCUAACUACGUG